UGUAUUCACUUUGCAACCAUGACCAACCCAUCUUGUUUUUAUGACCGAUUCUUGUCUUUGAUAACGCGAUCUUUGCAGAUGUUUAAUUUUAAGAGGAAAAGCAAAAAUAGGGUUGAUCCACAACCAGACGAGAGCCCACCAAGACAAGAGGAGCUGGAGGGAGUCAUGAUAUUUCGGAACCCUGUAUUCGAACCUAUAGCAGGGGCAGAGUCAGACUUUAUAAUGAGCAUUCAGGGUAGCUAGCUGAUGGGCCAUUGGGCCGUGUCCUUAAUAAAAGGGUUUCGGAACCUUGACGUAGUUCCUUUUUCGAUCUAGAGAAACGAAUCAGAGUACAUCAGAUUUAGGAGUGAUUAUCUAUGAAGGCAAAAUAACCCUGGCUUGUCAUAUUAUGGCACAGUUCUGUUUUCAAAUGCGGAGGACUUAGCAGGUGAAGAAUUUGAGAAUGAAUAUUAAAGAUGAAAGAUGUGAAAUAUAGAUUGGAGCUGAGAGAAAAUAGUUGUUUGGAUGAUGGAAAUGAUAGUAUUGUCAGUUAUUUUACAGUUUCAUAUACCGAUUGUGACAUGUGUUAUUAUAAAUAUAACUUUAUAACGAUGUUCUGUUGAUGCAUGAAUUUUUAAUGCAGUUUGUAAAAAUGGUUGCCAACAUUUGGGCUCGUGUCGAUUUUAGCUCUUUUUAAUUUUCUUCGUUGAUUUAAUUUUAUGAAUUCUUAGUUUACUGCUCCCUUUUAUUUUAAAGACAAGAAUUUCAGCAUUAAUCUAUAAAUUAUGCAUUUAAAUCUGUGAUACAUGUAUUUUGAUAGUAAAAUCUAGAAAAAUCUGAAUAGAUAUUCAAAGAGCUUUCCAGUUUCGAGUCAGUACAUUACGAUCAGGAAAUUUGUAAUCCGAGAA